CUUUUGCUUCUGUGUGGCCCGAUGAAAAUGAGCAGUGGCAGUUUCUUUAGAGAAGUUAAUUACUCUCCCGGAUAAUUAUGCUCACCGGAUGGCGCACCUGGCCUCCCUGCGGAACAGCAGAGUGGGGAAGAAGGGAAAGAGGGGGGCGGGGGGUUAUAAGUGCCAAGGGGAGCAGCAUCAAGGCCUGCCCGAGGCAAGCCGGAGAAGAGGAGGCCACUGGGGGCGCUGGGGUGACAGUGGAGGCGGUGACGAUCCCCCGGGAACAGUGCCCCCAGAGAGCCCCCGGGCCUGCUCUCAGGAGCGGGCUCCGGCGUGGCCGAGCUGCCCAGCCCCCCACAUGACGUGGCCGGGGUGGGGCAGGACUGGGACUGGCCCUCCCUCCUGGUUCUGGCUCCCUGCUUCCCCUUGUCGAGUGCUGAAGGAGCCCUGCCCCCCGAUCCCACCCAGGAGCAUCGGAGGACCCUGUGCUGCGCCCUGCCUGGAAGAGCAGAACUGGCUGGGUCCCACCCUCAGGGACAGGGCCUGGGGCGUAGAGGGGUGCUGGCCAUAGCACCCACAGGGCGGUGCCGGGGCUGUGGCAGGAACACAGGUGAAGCCCUGAGGGAGGAAGAGCCCUCCACCGAGAGCUGGAGGAGAAAGAGGCGUCAGCUGGCGCUGGGGGCUGAACAGCGUCCGCCCAGCAGGGGCCCACCCGGACCUCAGAGUCUCUGCCCCGGGACCACAGACGCCCUCUGACUGACAGCGAAGGUUUGGCUGAGGAGCCUUGGCUUUAUGAGCUGUGAAGAGUUCUUGGGGUGUCAUCCCCCCUGUGUCUAGAGCACCCACCGCUACAGCGAGGCCGAGGGACUGGGCUGGAAAGGUGGUUUCAGGUGGAGGCAGAGACACCGAUGCCAGGGAAGAGGCCGUGCUUGUCGUAGGAGACCUCAGAGUGUCACUGCUGCCAGCCCAGAACACUAAGGACCACCGGAAGAGGCCAGGAGGGAGCCCCAGAGCCUGCAGCAAGGGCGCCCGGCCCCCAGAGCUGCAAAAGAAUAAAGCUGUUCUUUCAAAUCA